rnacentral:lncRNA from 1 species
GUGCUGGGUAGCGCGGGUGCUGGGUACCAUGGGUGCUUGGUACUGCGGGUGCUGGGUAACAUGGGUGCUAAGUAGCUCGGUUGCUGGGUACGAUGGGUGCUGGGUACCAUGGGUACUGGACAGUGCGAGUGCUGGUCAACGCAGGUGCUGGGUGCUGCUGUUGGGUCACGGGACUGAGUUCAGCACCCCUCACGUCCCCGAAGCCCCCCCUCCUGUCGCUUCCCGCUCGUUUUUUUUCCUGUAGCCCAGGCUGGACCUUGUGCUCCGUGUUACUGAGCCUGAGGCUGAAGUGCUACAAGCACUCUGUCCGGUGAGCCGCAAGCACUCAAUCACUGAGCUAUAAGCACUACAUCCACUGAGCUAUAAAGAGUCCAUCUGCUGGGCCACAACCACUCUGUCCGCUAAGCUGUAAUCCCUCCAUCAACUGUGCUGCAAGCACUCUUCUGCCCACUGAGUUGCCAGCACUCUCUCCACUGAGCCGCGGGCACUCUACCCCCUCAGCCGCAAGCCCGCCCCCAGCACUUCCUUCUCACCUCCCCCACGCUCUCUCUCACGGUCCUUCAAUAUCCGGGUGCUGGGUCCAGAGUGUCUCGCUCUGCUCUGACGUCACGCUCUGCACAGGGCUGGAAACCAGAACGGAUGGGAACUGUCAAUUCCUCCUCCAGCCUCUCAGCAGGACGGGGAGGGGGAGGGGGAAGGGGAGGGACCCGCCUCCGCCCCCAGCGACGCACUUCCGGAGCGAGGCCAUCCCCCCGCGAUGACGUCAGGGACGAGCCCGAUGACGUCACAGCCCUCAGGACGCAGCGCAGAAGCCCUGAGUCUAGUUUUGCGAUCAUCAAACGCUCUGACGGAAGCGGAAGUCGGGAUGGGACGGGACAGGAGGGGUCUCGGCGCCUGGUGCAUGAUGGGAGUGAGGAAACGCGCUGUGGCAGGCACUGGGGGCUCGGUGGCUACUCUCAUGGAGGACGUGGACUCAGUUCCAAGCACCCACACGGUGGUGCACAGCUUCCGGAAAUGCCCUCCCCAACCCCCAGCCAUCAUGAAAACUGAAUGUCACGGAACUGAGUGCUUGUGUCUUGUGCUGAGUCUCUCUAAUGCUUGGUUUUCCCUUUCAGUGGAGCAAGGCGAGAUGGACUUAGACAACCGACCCAGCACCCACACAGAGCCGCCAGUUCGUCAGACUCUGCUGCAGACGUAG